rnacentral:rRNA from 1 species
UCCGGUGAAGUGUUCGGAUCGCGGCGACGUGGGCGGUUCGCUGCCGAUGACGUCGCGAGAAGUCCACUGAACCUUAUCAUUUAGAGGAAGGAGAAGUCGUAACAAGGUUUCCGUAGGUGAACCUGCGGAAGGAUCAUUGUCGAAUCCUGCCUAGCAGAAUGACCAGAGAACUCGUAACGAAUUCAAUGGGGACGGUGGGUUUUUUUCCCAUCGGCCCUCGACGCUCGGAUCGCACGGGUGCCUUGAGCGCUCGGGCUUUCCUGGCGGCACAACGAACCCCGGCGCGGAAUGCGCCAAGGAACUCGAACAAGAGAGCGAUGCUCCCAUCACCCCAGACAUGGUGCGUGUGUGGGACGCCACGUGAUCUCCUUAUUAUUCACAACGACUCUCGGCAACGGAUAUCUCGGCUCUCGCAUCGAUGAAGAACGUAGCGAACUGCGAUACUUGGUGUGAAUUGCAGAAUCCCGUGAACCAUCGAGUCUUUGAACGCAAGUUGCGCCCGAAUCCAUUCGGACGAGGGCACGUUUGCCUGGGUGUCACACACGGCGUUGCCCCUAAUCCCUCGCCUUGAAUUGGGCGGGUAAAGUCGGGUGCGUAUGUUGGCCUCCCGCGACGACUUCGUCCCGGUUGGCCGAAAAUCGAGCGCUGGAGCGAUUAGCACCACGAUAUUCGGUGGUUGAUGAGACCCCAUGUUCAAUGUCGUGCGCGUCGCUCGUGGAGGCGUUCCACGAAUCUACUCUUUUACCAACGCGACCCCAGGUCAAGCGGGGCUACCCGCUGAGUUUAAGCAUAUCAAUAAGCGGAGGAAAAGAAACUAACGAGGAUUCCCCUAGUAACGGCGAG